CCUGGGAAAGAGCAACAAUGGGGAGAAGGAAGGUUAACCUCGCCACACAUUGGAGUACAUUAUAAGCAUCUGUAAUGAAAACAGGUGACUCUGGCCCAAGAGUAGACAGGCAGACCAAUGGACCAGAAAAGGAAAUACAGAAAUUGACCAACUGCACCUGAGAAUUUAGUCUGCUGCAAAGGGGACAGCUCGAAUCCAUAAACCAGAAUCAAGGAAAGUUCUCUACGUCUUAAAGCCAGAAGUAAGAAGAUAAAUUCUUACUUAUUGAUAAAUUUGCUUAUAUAAAACAACAACACUACAAUAUUUUUUGCCAUGGUGCAAGGCUCUAUUAUAAAGACAAAAGACCAAUGAGGAAAGACAUAUGACCUCCUAUCACAGAUGGUUUUAAAGAUGAGUAAACCUCUGGGAAAAUGGAUGAGAAAUUAGGAUGCGGUUCCCAGGAACAGAACUGCAGGAGGCUCUCGGUCAUGUGAGAAGACCUUCAGCUGUACUUGAAUGGAGAGAAACCCAAGUCAAACGAUGCUGAGACGGUUUCCCUGCCGGCAGGAAGUGGAGAAGCUCAAAGUCUGUUGGGCUGGCAUCAAAGGACCAGGAACCAAGCUGGAAGAGGCUCUCAUCGGCCAAAGACACGACAAUGAUGGGUGUUCUCAAAGAAGAGGACAUAGGACACAGACGGGAACAGAGAAGACCACUGGACACAGGGAGACAGGCCUGAGAAGCAGGAACUUGCUAAUCCUUCGACUCAGGCUGCUGUCCUCCACGACUGUGAGAAAACACACCUGCCGUUGGAGCCCCCAGGCCGUGGUGCAGUGCGACGGCCGCUCCAGCUGACUGAUACCGUUAGAAAACAUUGCUUCAGAAACAGUAUGUGCCAGAAUAAAAAGAGAAUCAAACGUGAUUUGAAAAAUCUUGGACUGAAAUUCACCUGCCACUUGCCAGCUGGUUUCUGGGUCCCUGGCACAACACCCACCAAGCACAUUCCCUGAGGAGCAGGAAGGACCAGCUCAGGAGACACGUGUCCUGUGUGGAGUAGAGAGUGAGCGAUGCAAUCAGGGCUUGACUCCUGGGCUGCCCCUCACUCACCGGGUCUUGGGGAGCACUUUCUGCGAGCCCCAGC